GACGUAGGUGGCGAACGUUAUCCGGAAUUAUUGGGCGUAAAGGAUGCGUAGAUGGUGUAGUAAGUUAUUGGCGGCAAAUCGAGGCUCAACCUCGUGGAAACUGAUAAUACUGUCUUGCUUGAGUGCAGAAGAGGUUAACGGAACUCCAUGUGGAGCGGUAAAAUGUGUAGAUAUAUGGAAGAACAUCAAUAACGGCGAAGGCAGUUAACUAUUCUGUUACUGACGUUGAGGCACGAAAGCGUGGGGAGCAAAAAGG
rnacentral:rRNA from 1 species